GUAGGUGGCAAGCGUUGUCCGGAAUUAUUGGGCGUAAAGCGCGCGCAGGUGGUUCUUUAAGUCUGAUGUGAAAGCCCCCCGGCUCAACCGGGGAGGGUCAUUGGAAACUGGGGAACUUGAGUGCAGGAGAGGAAAGUGGAAUUCCACGUGUAGCGGUGAAAUGCGUAGAUAUGUGGAGGAACACCAGUGGCGAAGGCGACUUUCUGGCCUGUAACUGACACUGAGGCGCGAAAGCGUGGGGAGCAAACAGGGAUUAGAUACCCUGGUAGUCCACGACCGUAAACGAUGAGUGCUAAGUUGUUGGGGGGUUUCCCGCCCCUCAGUGCUGCAGCUAACGCAUUAAGCACUCCGCCUGGGGAGUACGGUCGCAAGACUG
rnacentral:rRNA from 1 species